GACGAACGCUGGCGGCGUGCUUAACACAUGCAAGUCGAGCGGUAAGGCCCUUUCGGGGGUACACGAGCGGCGAACGGGUGAGUAACACGUGGGUGACCUGCCCUCAGCUCUGGGAUAAGCCUGGGAAACGUGGGUCUAAUACCGGAUAUGACUCCAUGACGCAUGUUGUGGGGUGGAAAGCCUUGUGCGGCUGAGGAUGGGCCCGCGGCCUAUCAGCUUGUUGGUGGGGUGANGGCCUACCAAGGCGACGACGGGUAGCCGGCCUGAGAGGGCGACCGGCCACACUGGGACUGAGACACGGCCCAGACUCCUACGGGAGGCAGCAGUGGGGAAUCUUGCGCAAUGGGCGAAAGCCUGACGCAGCGACGCCGCGUGAGGGAUGACGGCCUCGUGUAACU
rnacentral:rRNA from 1 species